AUCACCUUAACCGGGUUAAUGGUGUAAGUUACUGUGAAGAAAGUGCCAGAGAAAUAAAUCAAUGUCCUAUAAAGGGUUUCGUUUGUCAGGAGGUUGCGGUGAACCAGGAGCUGCAGGGCUCCCAUGACCAUAUGGAUCGCACAGCGGCUUUAGAUCUCGCUGAUCACACCGUCCUCAUCGCUUGGCCCAGAGGCUCCAUUUCCAGCGAAAUCCAGAGAGGAAAAGUACCGCGUCGUCGCCAGUGAAAAAAAACAAACACCCUUCUAUGCGCGUACCCCCUCCCACCCGCCAACGCAAUACCGAAGAGCGCAGGGACACGAGAGUCGACCGCGAUCGUUCUUUUUGCAUUACUGCCGGCAGGUGGCAGCUGCUCCAUGUCGGCGCUCAAAUCCAGGGCCGGAGAGCUUUGAAUAAAGGAGGGGGAAAGAAGGGGUUUAAAGAGGAAUCCGAGGAAGACGUGACUCGGACUGUGGAACGUCCUACCGCUUCACGUACCCGGUGUCCCGAGCUGACCCUGCCUCCUCGCCAGCAUCCGCCCCUUCCUUCGUUCACCAAGAGGUCAAAGGCCUGCGAGGGCGUUUUGCGCACAGAUGUUCUACGGAUGAAGUUAAGGAGCGACCGCACAUCUGGAGGACGAACGUCUGCAAGGAUCCGCGCAAGACGAUUCUCUUGGAAAGUGGAACGUUCCCCUCCGGCGGCACGACUGAUGAUGGUGCCCACAAGGAGGGGAAGUGGGGUUGGGGGGGGGGGUUGUCCACCUAUCACUUUGGGGCCUUUCGCUGAAGACCGGAGUGCACUUUCCUUGACCCUCAUCUCGCCAGAGGACAAAAAAAAAGAAAAAACUAAGCGGAUGGCCGGCUCUCGGGAGGAUACAGGGACAGAUUACAGGCGCCAAAUCCCUUUAGUCUCCGGCGAAGGUGACAUGAUCCAAGUGCACUAAAUCCCGAGGAAUACUUCAGGGCCCGUGCCAGCGCGAGGUCGCGAAGGGAACGCGGGUUGCGCAAGAGCACGGCGCAGAAAUAAGGAAACGCUUCUUUACGCAAACCCACUCAGCGCUUUUCGAUAAGCUUCCCACUGUAGGCCAGCGUACACACAGCCUUUAUAUUCACUCAAAUCUGCGCUGCACACAACUCAAGCAGCUCUUAAUUACCGCAAUAUUAUUAGUUGGUAAUAUUCUUAUGUGCUUAUUUUCUUAUGUUCUUUCCAGUUUAUAUCCAGUCAAAUAAUCCGGCCGAAGACAUCAACAGAUGGGUGGGACCGAUGAAAGACUUGUUGUAAUAUCCGGGGGGGGGGGGAUUAAGCAUGGUUGCUCAGUGGGCGGAGUGUCUCAGCGCUGCCCCGUGUUGCCCUCCCCGCCCACCCCGCCCCCAACCGACCACCUGCCAGCACGCUCCGGUGUAGUGACGGCGGAGCCGCAGCCUGACCCAUUUAGAGCAAAUCCUUUCAAUACCCUUGACUAAUUGGAAGGUAACUUCGUCAAAGAUUAUCCUUUUUUUUUUUUUCAAACUACGUCCGGCAUUCCGGAGGAAUGCGGAGUCACGCCGUGGCUAUUUCAGCUCCUUCAAGCGUGAACGGCGAUGGGGAAUAUUUCCUAAGACUGUCCCUUGCUGUCCCUGGGUUCGACUGGAGCUGCCGCUUGGGAUCUGUGUGACCCACUGUGAUAAACCAAGGUCAAGGCCAAUAGUGCCGAGCCGCAGCCUCCAGCUGUCAGACCAGCUUAAUUUCGGCGGUACGGCGGCACAGCGAGUAGCGCUGCUGUCUCACAGCGCCUGGGUUCUGCGAGCGGACAUGGGUUCAACCCCCCCACUCAGUCUGUGUGGAGUUUGCAUGUUCUCCCCAUGUCUGUGUGGGUUUCCUCCGGGUGCUCUGGUUGCCUCCCACAGUCCAAAGACAUGCUGUUCAGAUUCACCCGUAUUCACUGAUGUAUGGAUGAGUGACCCAGUGUAUCUAGGAGUGUAAGUCACCGUGGUGAAUAAGGUGUGUGGGCUCAUAACACUACAUGGAGUUCAUGGAAUUUAGUUUAGACCCAUUUUUAAUUUCAGUUUCCGUCCAUAUAGGAGCGAAAUAGGGAUCGAGGUUCAGAGGUCAUCUUUCCUGCCGCUGCAUCCUCUACAAUUACUAUGACGAGGCACAUCUGUUCUUCCAGCAGCCCUUGUCACAAAUCCAUCCAGCAUUAUCGAGGAAUGUUCUCUGUUAAUCACACGCUGAAUGAGAGACUCCGCCAUUGUGCCCUGCAUGUGACCGCAAACAUUUUCUCCCAUUUCACCAGGCUGCUCGGACCAGAGUCACUCUGUGUGGAAUUGAAACCACGAGCCACAGCUGUAGGUAAAAAUGUUACUGUUGUGUAAAGCUGUAGUUUCCACACACACACAUCAUCUGCAACCGCUUGUCCAAUACAGGGUUGCAGGAAUCUGGCGCCCAACCUGGCAACACAGGGCGAAAGGCUGGAGGGGGAGGGGACACACCCAGGACGGGACGCCAGUCCAUCACAAGGCACCCCAAGCGGGACUCAAACCCCAGACCCACCGGAGAGAAGAACCCACUGAGCCACCGUGCCCUCCGCUAUAGUAUCCAGUAGGAUGCAAGUAGGGUACCCAUACAGGGCACGGAUAGUACAGUAGGGGUUAGUGUUGCAGCCUUAAGACCCAAGGGUCACGGGUUCGAUUCCCACCUCCAGCUGUAGUACACUUGAGCAAGGUACUUACUCUAAAUUCCUCCAAUAGAAUUACCCUACAGUAUAAACGAAUAAAUCAUCAUAAGCUGCUUAGGCUAGAAGUGUC
rnacentral:lncRNA from 1 species